rnacentral:rRNA from 1 species
GACGAAGGAUGCAAGCGUUGUCCGGAUUUAUUGGGUUUAAAGGGUGCGUAGGCGGCCUUAUAAGUCAGUGCUGAAAUAUCCCGGCUUAACCGGGAGGGUGGCAUUGAUACUGUAGGGCUUGAGUGUAGUCGAGGUAGGCGGAAUUGACGGUGUAGCGGUGAAAUGCUUAGAUAUCGUCAAGAACACCGAUAGUGUAGACAGCUUACUAGGCUACAACUGACGCUGAGGCACGAAAGUGUGGGGAUCAAACAGG